rnacentral:tRNA from 1 species
AGGGUAAAAUAAUAACUUGCAAUUAUAAAUUAUUGAAAAUAAAUUCUCAAUUUACCUUA